rnacentral:rRNA from 1 species
UACGUAGGGUGCAAGCGUUGUCCGGAAUUACUGGGCGUAAAGGGCUCGUAGGCGGCCAACUAAGUCAGACGUGAAAUCCCUCGGCUUAACCGGGGAACUGCCUCUGAUACUGGAUGGCUUGAGAUUGGGAGAGGGAUGCGGAAUUCCAGGUGUAGCGGUGAAAAUGCGUAGAUAUCUGGAGGAACACCGGUGGCGAAGGCGGCAUCCUGGACCAACACUGACGCUGAGGAGCGAAAGCCAGGGGAGCAAACGGG